rnacentral:sRNA from 5 species
UAUUCUGCCCCAUGGGGAAGGAUGAGAAGCUUCGACUAAGGUUCGACUCGAGCGAAGCGAGAGAACGUUGCCGCAGGCAACGGCCCGAAGGGCGAGGCGCUUUAGCGCCGAGUAAUCCUUCCCCCACCACUG